rnacentral:lncRNA from 1 species
GACAUCUGAGCUCAAACUGAGUCUUUCACUGUUUCAUCUCCAGUGUUUGGCAUACUCAGACAAACACACGGGUUGAGGGGACACUGGUUAGAAAAGACCACUCGUAGUGGAUUAAAUACAUUUCCACUGUAGCUGCCAGAUGUUUACAAUAUUUGUUCUACUUUUCAUACCCAGCUAAAGAUCGCAAGCAUCCCUUCUGGUCAACAGUGUGUUGCAGAGCCUAUUGCCCAUGACGUGGAGCACCAUGUGAUCUCUACAGACUCAUUCACAGACAGAGAAUUAAGAGCAGAGUGUCAGUCAUCUAGACCUACAGCAGACAACUCUGAGCACGAGGUGCAUUCUGUUGGAGGUCAGCGUGGCACUUCUUCUCUGAAAGAGUUAAUUGGUGAAGUUGGUGUCCAGUAUCAGGAGUUGUCACCCCAAGCGUUCUCAGAAGAACUUACCAGUGAGAGCAAAUCGAAAGAGGUGCCACAAUCAUCCAGAGCUGUGCCUAACGACUCUGCUUGUGAGUGUACAAUUCAUAGGCUGGUAUUUGAAUCGGUGAAACUUGACAAAUGCGGGAUAUGCCAUUCACCUUUGACAGCUAUCAGAUGGCAUGGUCUAAG